rnacentral:rRNA from 1 species
UACGUAGGGUGCGAGCGUUGUCCGGAAUUAUUGGGCGUAAAGAGCUCGUAGGCGGCUUGUCACGUCGGAUGUGAAAGCCCGGGGCUUAACCCCGGGUCUGCAUUCGAUACGGGCAGGCUAGAGUGUGGUAGGGGAGAUCGGAAUUCCUGGUGUAGCGGUGAAAUGCGCAGAUAUCAGGAGGAACACCGGUGGCGAAGGCGGAUCUCUGGGACGGUACUGACGCUGAGACGCGAAAGCGUGGGGAGCGAACAGG